rnacentral:rRNA from 1 species
UGGGGAAUAUUGCACAAUGGGGGGAAACCCGUAGAUGCAGCGACGCCGCGUGAGCGAAGAAGUAUUUCGGUAUGUAAAGUUCUAUCAGCAGGGAAGAUAAUGACGUUACCCUCAGAAGAAGCACCGGCUAACUCCGUGCCAGCAGCCGCGGUAAUACGGAGGGUGCAAGCGUUAAUCGGAAUAACUGGGCGUAAAGGGCAUGCAGGCGGUUUAUCAAGUAGGAUGUGAAAGCCCCGGGCUCAACCUGGGAAUUGCAUUCUAAACUGAUAGACUAGAGUAUUGCAGGGGGAGACGGAAUUCCAGGUGUAGCGGUGGAAUGCGUAGAUAUCUGGAAGAACACCAAAGGCGAAGGCAG